UGUAUUCAGCAGACUUUAGCACUUCCACUUUGGAGAAUGUUUUCUCCAAGUCAUCUGGCUGCCUGCCUUCUCUCUCUUGCUCCCUUUUGGUCACAGCUGAAUCUUGUUUGCUUGCCUUUUGGCAAAUAUGGCUGUUCAGCCUGAAAAUGCAGAGAGGAGGGUUUCUGUAUUUGCUACGUCUGAUGAGGGUCUCUGCCUUUGUUUGCAGGCUUUAACAGCCCUUCUGAAAUACUAGUCAGCUUUUGAGCCUUAUUUCAUCAUAAGCAGUUGUAAUUUUAGGGAUCGUUGUAUUUCUCUGCAGAUUCCAUGGACUUUAUCAGGCAUCUGACUCCUUUAUUUUUGCUUGUCUUCUGCAAUAUGUGCAGUCCAACAUCGAGGAGACAUCUGUGUUUUCUUGUCAGAAGUGCCCUCAGAUAAAAGAGAAAAUGCACUGUCUGCAGAAUCCUUUGUCAUGGGAAAAACACAGGAAGUGUAAUACUGCAACAUCUACAACUGCUCUGCCCUGCUGGGAUUGAACUCUUAAUCUUCUGUGUAAUGGAGAUUAAUAUCCCUUACAGAUGCAAAUGUAGGGCAGGACCUCUGUCUUCCCCGGAAAAGAGCUUUCGAGUACAAUGAUGGGAUACAGAUCAGAGUUUGGAGCCUAAACAAGAUCUCACAGCCUCUACAACAAAUCUCUGUAUCUGAAAGUGAAGAAAGAAUUAAUUCUGUGUGGUUAGGGGUUUGCCACGUGACAUCACCAAGGUAAAUACAAGAAAGGGGCAGAAGUUCACAGAUCAUUUGCAAAUACCCAGCAUAAUGCAUGCUCCCUGUUGCCUGUACUGCAAAUAUAACUUAGUGAUGUUAGAACUGCAUUGCUCCAUUUGUUUCAUAGAAAUCACGUAAGAGGUGAAGUGUAACAUUUUCUCAGGUUGAUGGAACAUUAUAAAGUGAACACAGUAUCCAAAGCUCAUCGUAACCAAACUUACAUGCAAUUUGCAUCUGGUUAUGGACUGUAUAAUUUGGGGUUCCUGCCCUGGUUCUUGUUCCAGAGUGUAAUUAGGGAAGCUGUGCUAUGCUUGGGGAGGCUUGAUGCUGAAAGAAAUACGUGUUUCCCAGCAGAAUGUCUAAGCGAAAUAGCCUACUCACCAGCAGGAUUACCCAGGCAGGUGGUAACAGCAGCUGCUCUGUAUACCAUCAGAUCUGCCUAUACAGCAGGGCACUUCCAGGUUCCUAGGGUUUAGUGUUUCUCAUUGAACCCUCAGGGGUUGAAGGCAGGUGCUUUGGUAAGCAGAAAGAGAGGAUCACACACAUUAUCUGUAUUGUCAGGUUGUGCAGUGCAAGCAGCUGGUUCAGAUAACCUGACUGUGACAUCUCAGGAGGGAUUACUUGGGAGCAUCUCCAGUCUGAUCCACUGAAUUGAGUAUCCAUUAAUGGUCAGUACAUUUGCUGUGAUUCUGGAUCUCACAUUCCACUUUAGUUUCUUCUGAAAAGAAUUCAGUUUAUGUGCUCUGAAACCAUGCUGCAAGGCAAACCACAGCAUAUUAAGUAGGGAUGACCAAGAAAUGCUACCCAAACUGUAAACCCACUGACUUUCUCCAGGCCUGUUGUCUCAAGUCUGUUUAAGAUCAAGCAGAGUCCUCCUCACCCACAGGUGAAGGCUUGAGGUUUGUCUCAAGUGACUGAUUUUAUUUUCCAUAUAUCCUGAAAUUAAUCUUAAAGUUUCUACGUUUUCCAGUUUGGGGCAAUAAUGUUGCAAGGUUUGGGUUUCCAAAGAUGGUAGUUCAAGCUCUACUCAACAUUACAGACCACAGGCUAUUAACAGUAUGGUCUGUGAUGUUGUUCUCCAGAAAAAAAAUGGAAAUAGGUGAUUUGGAGGACAGAAUUACACCCAGCUAACUUCCAGAGGUUCUAGGUUGGUGGCAAAAUUAGGUAUGGUCAGUUAGCAUUGAAUUCCAGAAGAAUUCUGUUGGUAAUAGAAAGGCUCAUCCUUGCCUCGCUCCCUGGCAUGGGUGCUCCCCACAGGCUAUAAAACCCAUCACAGUGACAUAAAAUGGAUUUCAGCAAAGAUCUGAUUCAACUGUGCUGUAAGCUGUGGACUCUGGUCUCACUUUCACUUUGUAACAGGAAUAAGACAUAGUAAUAGGAUGGUGGAAGAAAAUUACCCCUUCUUUUGCAUACACAGUAUCUGUUUUUCAAGGAUUUCUGCUCUCUGACUUACCAUGUGCCCUUUUCAUUAGCUCCAGUCUAAGUUAAGGGUUUAAUAUUUAUCUGUUCUUAAAGAGAAACUACUUACUAGCUGACAGAGCCUGAAAGCAAUAGCAGUAAAUAACAGCAGAAAAGUCAGUUCAUUCACAAUAAAUGUUUUGUACUGCCACUAACUUGUGCAGUCUAAACAUACAUUGAGAUACCCAAGCACUGAAAAAAUCGCUUUUUAAUCCAUGUGAGGCUCUUCUCUGUUUUAAACCAAGGUUGAAAUCAGAAAGGGUAAACCAGAAUUGAGAAACUCGGAUUGUCAACAAUUUUAUAGCUUCAUUUUCUACUACAUUUGUGUGGUGAAUAUACUAGAAAAUGGGCUCUGGAUUUGCAUUUCCUUCUAGUCUUGUGCAGCAGGACAUUAAAUAAUAGCAUUUGUGGUCUAAUCUGCACUUUAAUAUGUUUUCUUUACUUGCUUAAUUGUAUUGAUGGACAGAGGAGGAUGAUCUUGCGUCGAGGACAGAGUACUGGAAGUCAGGUGAUCUGGGUUAUAUUCAGAGUUCUGCCGCAGGCUUCCUGUGCAGUCUGCUAUAAUCAGGUUUGCUAAUAUAUCAAAUGAAGAUAAUGACAUUUCCCCUCCUUACCAGGGUGUUGUGACACUUAAUUCAUUAAUGUUUGUAAAGUGCUUUGUUGUCCUUGCUUCUAAAUGUGCUCCUUACUGUAAUGAUGUCUUAUGAAUGGUAUUAAAUUUGAGAAUAAUGUUGCUUUAGUGCCUGUGCACUGAAGUGUAGUAAAGACCAUUAUUUUCAUGUAUUUUAUGAGGUACUGAAAUUUUUUAGAUGACUCACUUGAAAUUUAGCUAAAAUAUAGUUACAGUUGUAAAA